UCCUGCCAAAAUUCCCCAGGCCAACAAAAAGAAAGCCAAAUUUCAAUUAGUGAAAUCAUAGUAAUGGAUGUCCUUAUUGAGAUAUGCUUCACGAUAACCACCAUAAAUAGCACAACUAACCCCAGGGCCAGGAUAAACUUCCUAUAAUACAAAGCUGGUUGGAAUGAGGAGCGUCGGACAUUCAGUAGAAAACAAAACAACUCCUACAGUCUAUCAGGUUCCUCUUCUAUGGGCUGUGUAGUUCUUGAAGACUUGAUCAAAGACAC
rnacentral:lncRNA from 1 species